rnacentral:rRNA from 1 species
GGCGGCGUGCCUAACACAUGCAAGUCGAGCGGUAACAGGUGUAGCAAUACAUGCUGACGAGCGGCGAACGGGUGAGUAAUGCUUUGGAAUCUUCCCAGUAGUGGGGAAUAACCAGUCGAAAGAUUGGCUAAUACCGCAUACGUCUGAAAAGGGAAAGCGGGGGCUCGUAAGACCUCGCGCUAUUGGAUGAGCCAAAGUCGGAUUAGCUAGUUGGUGGGGUAAUGGCCUACCAAGGCGACAAUCCGUAGCUGGUCUGAGAGGACGACCAGCCACACCGGAACUGAGACACGGUCCGGACUCCUACGGGAGGCAGCAGUGGGGAAUAUUGGACAAUGGGGGAAACCCUGAUCCAGCGACGCCGCGUGUGUGAAGAAGGCCUGCGGGUUGUAAAGCACUUUUAGUGGGGACAAAAAGCUACGGACUAAUACUCUGUGGUCUUGAUUUAACCCAAAGAAAAAGCACCGGCUAACUCUGUGCCAGCAGCCGCGGUAAUACAGAGGGUGCGAGCGUUAAUCGGAAUUACUGGGCGUAAAGCGCGCGUA